GACAGAACUUUGGAGGCUACGCACAUACUGCACCUCCUCAACAGAAUCAAUGGUUAACGUUAUUGUAGCCUGCUGAUCCUGCUCUUUUUGCGCCUUACAUCAUGUAAGAAACUAGCCUCUUCCUCAUUUCCUCCACACAGGCGCUGACUGGCUGCUCACCGCCCACACACUGCCCACUAGCUCAGGUGACAGCCUCAACAAAGCGCCCCCUCCCUUUGGAGAUGUAGCUGUCUGUGGAUGACAGCAGAGCAAGAGGACAGGAACUAGAGCUUGCGCCGUUCUUCCGUAAAGUAGACGAAAUAGAAAACAGGUGUAUCUCUCCAUUUAUCAUUGCUCCCCGCUGAGCUCUCGAGGAAGUGUUUGACCGGCGACGUUUUAGUCAUUUUAGUCACGAAGCUGAACAGAGGGAGCAAAGGAAGGAGGUGACACAUAAAGCGAAGUCCCGUUAACUCAACCCUGCACCGGCUUCUUCUUCUCUCCUGUAACUGUAUCCAUACAACCUGGAUGCAAUGACGGACUCGGUGGUGGACAGCAAGACGGAGGUUAAACAAGCCACGAAAUAUGUCAAAGAGACUGAGAAUGUGGCGGAGAAAUACUCAGCGAUGACCGUGAGCAAAAACAGCAGUGAUGUGAAUAUGAAUGUCGGGGAAAUGCCCUCUGCAGCAUUCACCGCAGUCCCCACUCUGAAGACCGUCAAGAAGAUCCAGUUUGCUAAUGCGGAGGACAAACAAGAGUUCAGCAAGUACCCUACCAAGGCGGGUCGGCGCUCCCUCUCUCGCUCCAUCUCGCAGUCCUCCACAGACAGCUACAGCUCAGCCGCAUCGUACACCGACAGCUCCGACGAUGAAACCUCCCCACGGGACAAAGCGCAGGUCAACACGCACGGCAGCACUGACUUCUGCGUCAAGAACAUCAAGCAGGCGGAAUUUGGCCGCCGUGAAAUUGAAAUAGCAGAACAAGAUAUGUCUGCCCUGAUCUCCCUGAGGAAGAGAGCCCAGGGGGAGAAGCCGCUGGCUGGGGCAAAGAUAGUGGGCUGUACCCACAUCACUGCUCAGACAGCAGUCCUGAUUGAAACUCUGGUAGCCCUUGGGGCCCAGUGUCGCUGGACAGCUUGUAACAUCUACUCAACUCAGAAUGAGGUGGCUGCUGCUCUUGCCGAAACCGGGGUGCCUGUGUUUGCCUGGAAGGGUGAGUCAGAGGAUGACUUCUGGUGGUGCAUUGAUCGCUGUGUCAACACAGAGGGCUGGCAGGCCAAUAUGAUCUUGGAUGAUGGCGGAGAUUUAACCCACUGGGUGUACAAGAAGUAUCCCAGCGUCUUCAAGAAGGUGCGGGGCAUUGUGGAGGAGAGUGUCACUGGGGUGCACAGAUUGUACCAAUUGUCUAAGGCAGGCAAGUUGUGCGUCCCUGCCAUGAAUGUGAACGACUCGGUGACCAAGCAGAAAUUCGACAACCUUUACUGCUGCCGUGAAUCUAUCCUAGAUGGCUUGAAGAGGACCACAGAUAUAAUGUUUGGAGGCAAACAAGUCGUAGUGUGUGGUUAUGGAGAGGUGGGGAAAGGCUGCUGCACUGCUCUAAAGGCCCUCGGAGCCAUUGUGUGCAUCACAGAGAUUGACCCCAUCUGUGCCCUGCAGGCAUGCAUGGACGGCUUCCGAGUAGUCAAGCUGAGUGAGGUGAUCCGGCAGAUGGACGUGGUGAUAACUUGCACUGGAAACAAAAACGUGGUGACCAGAGAGCAGCUCGACCGGAUGAAGAAUGGCUGCAUCGUCUGCAACAUGGGACAUUCCAAUACUGAGAUUGAUGUGGCGAGUCUUCGCAGCCCUGAGCUGACCUGGGAGAGGGUCCGCUCUCAGGUUGACCACAUCAUCUGGCCAGAUGGGAAGAGAGUUGUUAUGCUUGCAGAGGGUCGCCUCUUAAAUCUGAGCUGCUCCACAGUACCUACGUUUGUGUUGUCCAUCACUGCUACAACUCAGGCCCUGGCCCUGAUUGAGUUGUUCAACGCUCCGGAAGGACGUUACAAACAGGAUGUGUAUCUCCUGCCCAAGAAGAUGGGUAAUAAUAAAGACUCAUGUAUAUGCUGUUAUUCAAUCAUAGAUUUACCAUGGAAACCAUCUUAUACAAACGCAGUUUUCAAUGCUUGCUGUGGCCAGUUUCUCAUGCUGGCCUUAUUUGUUUUGCUCACUGUUGCCACCUUGUGAUUGACCUGAAAACUACACCAUUCAGUGAACCAGAGAACCCACAGUGUAGAAUCAAUUCUGUCUUUCCUUCAGAUGAAUAUGUGGCCAGUUUGCACCUACCAAACUUUGAUGCUCAUCUGACGGAGCUCUCUGACGAACAGGCCAAGUACAUGGGCCUCAACAAGAACGGCCCCUUUAAGCCUAAUUAUUACAGGUAUUAAUACGAGUGUCUGAUGGCAAGAUCUUCAACUCACAGUUGCCCUGGAUAAACAGAGAUAUCUAUUUUAUUUUCUCAAUCGCAAAAUGAAGGAAUUAUUUUACUUAAGCUGAAUGUAACUUAUUAAUAGCACUCCAGACAUGGUGUUACAUAUUAAUAAUAACAUUAGGAAACACAAGAUGUAUUGAUAACUAACAUUUUACAUGUCUUGUCAUGUGUUUAUAGAAAAGCUUGCUUGCAUGCUUUCAUGUGUGUGCUAAUUUAGUCGCUUAUGUUACUAGAUCACAAAGUUACUGAUUUAUUUGUUUACCCUAUUUACGCAUUGUGCCAAAGGAUACUGUAAGAAUGGAAAAGAGACCAUUUAUGUUUCAUUUUAAGAUUUUCAGAGUACAUUCCAUUAAUGAGGGUUUAGGUUGAGCCAAAAAUGUCUGUAUUUUCAUGUAUAUUGUGUUAGAAAUGUUUAAAAGCUGUGUUAAAUUAUCUGACUGAACGGUAUCUGCAUACAUGUCCUAAAAGGUAACAUCCAGUCGUGCUUUUGACUACACAGAGUGAAAUGAUGAAUUGUAUCUCUAGCUCUAUAAACAAUAUGACCCGAUUUGUUUAUCUCAUCUAUAACAGCCUGUGAAAGGGUAAGUGCAUAUUAUAUUCCUGACUCUUGGUGUUGGCAUUAAACACUCAUCCUAAAACCAUCUGAAAACACAGAAGUCUUCUUCUGUUGUGUUAUGUUGCUGCAAAGAUAACAACUUGGAUCCAUUCCUUUAAAGAACUAGCUUCAUAGGAUGAGAACAAGCUUGUUACAUUUUCAAACUACAACUCCCCUCUUUUAAUACCAAGUGUCCAUUCACUCAUUCAGAUUCCUGUUGAGAUGUGUGGGACUGAAGAGCAAGUGGUUCUUAUUUAUGUACUGACUGGAUACUACCUUUAAGUAUGGUAUUGUUGUGCCUUUUAAUAAUUUAUGACACAUAAAUAUCAGCACUGACCUUAAAUGUAUGGACAUUCCUUUUUUGUAAAACCACAUCUAUUACUGGUACAUUUAUUGUCUUCCUUUCACUGCUUCUGGUGUUAAUUGUGACUCUGCUGUAUGAGCUAUAUGUUGAGAAAAAAUAUUAGACUUUAUGUUUGCCAUAUAACUGUCGCUGUCUUAAUUUGAUCCAACAGGGUCACCUUGAGUUAUACUUUCUGUGAUCAAAAUGCAUAAAUGUAUAAUAUGUAUGUAAAACAAUGCAUCAAAUCAGCAAUAAAGCAAGUCCAUCUAACAGAGA